GAUUAGGUUGAUGCUCGCCGCUUUCUCUAACUCUCUCAUUUCACUGUUUCACUUUCAACUUCGAACUCACUCUCUCUCUCUUCUCUCUUCUCUCAAAAAAAUCAGAAAAAAUAAAAAUCAAAAUCGAAAAAUCAAAAUAAAAUUACGAGAAGAUUGUACAACAAUUCAGACAAACGUUGAGAAGCGUAAGAGCCUAAGAGGUAUCAUCAUUUCAAUGACAUGCACUGGUGUUACAUUUCGAUCGACUAUUAUUUGUGUUACUGCACACAUGUGCUAGGACUUUGAUGAAUUCUGGACUAAGAAGCAAGUGUGGUUAACAAAGAUUACUUGGAUAUGUAUUUUGAAGACGCUCUUCUCCCACGAACUACUAAUUUGGAUGUUCUCAUUAACCAGAGGAUCCUCAGAUUAUUAACU